rnacentral:rRNA from 1 species
UAGGGAAUCUUCCACAAUGGACGCAAGUCUGAUGGAGCAACGCCGCGUGAGUGAAGAAGGUUUUCGGAUCGUAAAGCUCUGUUGUUGGUGAAGAAGGAUAGAGGCAGUAACUGGUCUUUAUUUGACGGUAAUCAACCAGAAAGUCACGGCUAACUACGUGCCAGCAGCCGCGGUAAUACGUAGGUGGCAAGCGUUGUCCGGAUUUAUUGGGCGUAAAGCGAGCGCAGGCGGAAUGAUAAGUCUGAUGUGAAAGCCCACGGCUCAACCGUGGAACUGCAUCGGAAACUGUCAUUCUUGAGUGCAGAAGAGGAGAGUGGAACUCCAUGUGUAGCGGUGGAAUGCGUAGAUAUAUGGAAGAACACCAGUGGCGAA